CCGUAUCAGCCUGAAGGCGCCCGAUCUCGUCUGAUCUCGGAAGCUAAGCAGGGUCGGGCCUGGUUAGGAUCUUGGAUGGGAGACCACCUGGGAAUCCCGGGUG
rnacentral:rRNA from 1 species